GGGAGGGACGCAAAUGGAGCGGUGAGGGAGGAAGGGGACACCCACCUAGCCAGCCAGAUCAGCCGAAUCAACCCUGGCGAUCAAUGGGAUGGGAAGGGCACAAGUCUGAAUUCCAG